UUGGUGUAGCCCAAAUUGAAUUUAGCAAUCUAAUUACUAAUUAAUCCUUCAAUAAUUCAGUAAUUAUUUUACUGCAACUUUUGCUUAUGGUAAUCUGUCAAUCGAAUUGACCGAUGUACCUCUAGAUGAUUAUUAAUCGUCGAUCAGCCAUUUGAUCAAGCUACAAACUUCUAUGCGUGUAACCCCAUAGGUUCGAACCUAAGCCGGUAGCACAAGAACGACUUUCUGUACUAAUCGAAGUAACCAUCUAGCAAUAGUAUCCGAUGUCCGGAUAGGCCAAAUAAUUGCAAAGCAAUAUUCUGGAACCCUUGAACUAUGGUUACUGUAUAAUUCAUCCCUAUGACACCAAAUGCCUAGGAUGACUUCAGAGUCCUGUCAACUCUUUAAUUAGUGCAUCCAAAAAUGUAUUUCAACUUUACUAAUCCUGCGACUC
rnacentral:lncRNA from 1 species